AGUUAAUGAUCUUGAC
rnacentral:tRNA from 2 species